GAGCACUGCCAGAGCCCUGCAAAAUGACCUCCAGCAGGCCACAAUAUAUCACUGUAAACAUAACUAUGUCAUUUCAAUAAUAUUAAUAAUACGCAAUGAAAGCACUUGUGCUGAUUAUAGACACUUAAUAGCGCAUUUAAAUUUCAAAAGAUUGCGACCCCCCCCGCCCUUUGCCGCACAAUGGUUUGAUCCACUGCCAGUUCUUUAGCUGGCAAGGUAAUAGAGAGUUCAUAUCUACUGUCCGAAAGGGACAUGUACGUAACUGACGUGAGGUUAAUCCAGUCAAUCCAUAGCAGGUCCAUAGCAAUGUUAUUUAUUUAUUUUUAUGUUGGCAGGGUUCACACACUAGGGGAAUUUGCAGAGCUAGCGCGCAAACUAAAGCAAACAUUAACUAUCAAGCUAGCUAGUACCUAUUCCAUUUAUGUGGCGUCGUCAAAGAUGGAAUCUUUGCUAUCGUCAGUUUAUUCCAAGAUCAGCAUGCAGCUGUAGUGCUUCGACGUCCCUGUGAUAAGGUUAGCAAUAAACUGAAGUCCAAACUGAACAGAACUACACUCUCUUCUACCAUUGUCUUAAAUAUAUAUAAUGGUCUCGUUGCAAAAGAUAAAUUGUCGCUAGUGAACUUUUUUUAUUUUAUUUUAUUUCACCUUUAUUUAACCAGGUAGCAAAGAUUAUAGCAAACACACAGAAACGGAAUUGGUGCUCGCUAGCUUUACAAAUUCAGCUAUUGUUGGAAGCCAGCCAAUAUGAAACAAACUAUUUAAAUUACAAAAGGUUGCAGCAUGUGUUGUGUAAAUGUGUGUGUGUGCAGCUAGGCCAGCCAGCCAGCCAGGUAGAAAAAUGGCAGAAAAAAGUAAGAAGACGGACAUCAGAGUAUUUGUCAGUACACCAAAACGCAUAGCAGAGCAGGCAACAGAUGGCACACAGACAGCAGAGUUGGGGACAGAUUGGCAGACAGGGAGUCUCAGGCCUGUUGUAAGGCAGGUCCUCACCAGACAUCACCGGCAACAACGUCACCUAUGGGCACAAACCCACCGUCGCUGGACCAAACAGAACUGGCAAAAAGGGCUCUUCACUGACGAGUUGCAGUUUUGUCUCACCAGGGGUGAUGGCCGGAUUCGCGUUUAUUGUUGAAGGAUUGACAGUUACACAGAGGCCUGUACUCUGGAGCUGGAUCGAUUUGGAGGUGGAGGUCCGUCAUGGUCUGGGGCGGUGUGUCACAGCAUCAUCGGACUGAGCUUGUUGACAUUGCAGGCGUUACAAUGUGCGUUACAGGGAAAACAUCCUCCUCCCUCAUGUGGUACCCUUCUUGCAGGCUCAUCCUGACAUGAUCCUCCAGCAUGACAAUGCCACCAGUCAUACUGCUCGUUCUGUGCGUGAUUUCCUGCAAUACAGGAAUGUCAGUAUUCUGCCAUGGCCAGCGAAGAGCUCGGAUCUCAAUCCCAUUGAGUACGUCUGGGACCUGUUGGAUUAGAGGGUGAGGGCUAGGGCCAUUCCUCCCAGAAAUGUCCGGGAACUUGCAGGUGCCUUGGUAGAAGAGUGGGGUAACAUCUCACAGCAAGAACUGGCAAAUCUGGUGCAGUCCAUGAGGAGAUGCACUGCAGUACUUAAUGCAGCUGGUGGCCACACCAGAUACUGACUGUUACUUUUGAUCCCCCCUUUGUUCAGGGACACAUUAUUCCAUUUCUGUUAGUCACAUGUCUGUGGAACUUGUUCAGUUUGUCUGUUGAAUCUUGUCAUGUUCAUACAAAUAUUUACACAUGUUAAGUUUGCUGAAAAUAAACGCAGUUGACAGUGAGAGGACGUUUCUUUUUUUGCUGAGUUCAUUUAUUUUUAAAUCUAGUGUUUUGAGUUUCCACUUCUUCAGGUGGUGAAUUAGCACUAGUUGAAUUAGGCCUAUAUAUAAUAUUAGCAAGCAGAAAGAAGAUGCAUUUUUUUCGCUCUAUUGAACAAAAAAAU